rnacentral:rRNA from 1 species
UUCAGAAGGUGCAAGCGUUGUUCGGAAUUAUUGGGCGUAAAGCGCGUGUAGGCGGCUACCUAAGUCGGAUGUGAAAGCCCCUGGCUUAACCGGGGAAGUGCACCCGAAACUGGGUAGCUAGAGUGCAAAAGAGGGUCGCGGAAUUCCCAGUGUAGAGGUGAAAUUCGUAGAUAUUGGGAGGAACACCGGUGGCGAAGGCGGCGACCUGGGUUGACACUGACGCUGAGGCGCGAAAGCGUGGGGAGCAAACAGG